GUUAUUCAGUCAUUUUUCAGUAGUAUCCAACUCUUUGCAACCCCAUUUGGCACAUAUACCAGAUUGCUUUGCCAUUUCCUUCUCCAGCUCAUUUGGCAAGUGAAGAAACUGAGGCAAACAGAUAGUCAUCGUUUUGUGCGCUUGGGAAAACUGGUGGUAAACCGGUGGAGGAAAGAUGCUCAGGACCAGAGGACAGAAUAAGCCCUUGACUGAAUGCUUCCCCACUGAGAAAACUGUCUACUCUCCUCCUCCCUCAUGAAGCCUCUCCAGACCAUACCUUCAAUCUCUCCUUCAAUGAAUCCAUCAACAAGUGUCUACUGUGUGACAGACACCAAGGACACAUUUAAUUCUCUGUGCCAGGUGUUAAGCUACAAACUACAGAAAUGGAAAGCCUGGACCAAAAUGUACUCUGGGGCAAAACCAGAGAAGAGAGGGAGAAGGAAAACAAGUGUACAGAUUCUGAGGAAAUGGAGGUCUCCUUCACUCAGCUUUCCAAAGCAAGCAGGACCAAAGAGACAGAAGUAACAAGAUGGGAGAGCCCUAAGGGAUGCUGCAGUCUGCUCAAACUGGCUUGGAAGAGCUGAUUAUUAAACUUUUAGUGCAAACACAUCUAAAAAUUCAGCAAAUGCUGCAAAUUGAGGCUCAAUGAUUUGUUUUAUUGAUAGAAUUUCAGAAAGUAAUGGAGAAAAUGUCAAUAUAUUAAACGGAUACCAUGUAUACAUUUCUUGAGAAUCAAUUGUUAAACUUUAUCAGCAUGCCACUCUGCACAAUUAAAUACUCCUUGAGCAAAUUGAGGGAC
rnacentral:lncRNA from 1 species